rnacentral:lncRNA from 1 species
AGGACACUGUGAUCACUCAGCAUCUACCCAGCUUCCCCUCCUCUAUCCCUUCCAUAAAAACAUACCGAAAAGACCACCCCCGGCACCACUGCAAAAAAGACCUAAACUAAACACUGUGCAGCUGUUGGUCUGAGUGGCUGCAAGCUCACAAAAUGCAUGGGGACCACAGCCCCCAGCCCUAUCUGGAAGGACGGCUGAUUGCCUGGAUUUAAUUGGAUAGUUAAAUACAGAUGAAGAUGAUUCUGGAGUACAGAUUAGUCCUGGUGCAACAAGAUCUGUCAGAGACUCUGCCUACUAAGGGAAGUGGGGUAUUUGGCUGCCCCCUAAAAUAAAGAAUGAAUCAAACUGCCAGAACAAGACACCCCAGGAGGCAUGAGAUGGCACUGGAAGGAUUUGUGUUAGAGUCAACUGAAGCAAAACUUUGAGGAGCUAGUCCUGUAGACAGCCCCUCACUGCAUUUUUCCUUCCUUCUCCUCCUUUUCAUCCUCCUUCCCCUCCUUUUCAUCCUCCUUCCCCUUUUCCUUCCUCCCCUCUUUCUUUUUCUUUCAUUCCUUUUUAAGUCAUGCACUACACUUUCUGUCUGCCUUUCUUUUUUUUUUAAUCUGAUGUUCACAAGAGGGAAGUGACUGAUGAUAGGAACUAAGUGCUUGGGGCUCAGUAAUUCAUUCAACAAACAGUUAUCAAGUAUCUACCAUGUGGCAAGCUCUUUGCUAGAUACUGGAGCUCUGAGAUGUAUAAGAUACCUUUCUGGCUUCCAAGAAGCUCACAGUUGAUGGAGUGUCAUGUAAAUUAAUAACUGAUAUAGAGUGUGGAAAAUCACAUCAUGGAGGUGACUCAGGGAUUGUGAGAACACGGAGAACAGACCACAUGGCACAACUGGGUGAUGGUGGAAGAUUCUGGAAGAGCAGUCACCGGAGCAGAGGCUUACAAGGUGGAGUAAUUACUAGGGCACUGUCUGAAUAAGGUGUUUGAUUGCUGGAGGGUGAAGAAGGAAUGGAAACUGAAGAAACAGGAAAGGGUGUAUAGGUUGACAUUUUUGAGGAGCUUGACAAUGGAAAACCAGAGGAUGAGAGGCAACAGAUGUAGGGUUCAGUUGUUUCAUUGAAGGGACAUGUAUUGUGAGCGUAUGUAUGUGACAGGUGCUGACCAGGCACCAAGUACCCGAAAGUGGAUGAAAUUGUGCCCGCAGCCUUAAUGUUCUAUUGGGAAACACAAACAGACACAUAAUAGGCAUUUUAAGUAAAAUGUGAGAAGUGCUAUGAUAGAGCUACCGACAGAGCUCAGGGCAGCAUCUAGUGAAGCCUGGGUGUUCAGGGAAGGCUUCCUGGAGAGAGGCUUCUUAGCGAUUUCAUUUUUGAAACUGGUUUUUACUUUUAUGUGAAGUUUUAAAAAGUGAUCAAAUAUACGUAACAUAAAAUUUACGUUUUUAACCAUUUUUUAGUGUACAGUUCAGUGGCAAUAAAAACAUUCACAUUAUUGUGUGACCACCACCACCACCAUCAUCCAUCUACAGAACUUUGUCAUCUUUCCAAAUGGAAAGUCUGUGCCCAUUAAACACAAACUCCCAUUUCCCCAUCCCCCAGACCCUGGUGGCCCUGUUCUGCUUUGUGUCUCUGUGAGUUUGACUCUUCUAGGUGCCUCAUACAAAUGGAAUCAUACGGUAUGUCUUUUUGUGACUCUUAUUUCACAUGGCAUCCUGUCACAAUGCGUCAGGAUUUCCUUCCUUUUUAAAAUUUGUUUAUUUUUUGAGACAAGGUCAUUACUCUGUUGUCCAGGAUAGAGUGCAGUGGCAUGAUCAUGGCUCACUGCAGCCUCGACCUCCCCAGGUUCAGCUGAUCCUCCUGUCUCAGCUUCCUGAGUAGCUGGGACUACUGGAGUAUGUCACCAUGCCCAGCUAAUUUUUAAAUUUUUUUGUAGGAAUUUUUUUUUUUUUGAGAUUCAGUCUCACUCUGUCGCCCAGGCUGGGGUACAGUGGUGCUCUCUUGGUUCACUGAUUCCUCGCCCCCCACCCCAGGU